AGAUUUAGUUUCUUACAGGAAGAUAAAGGAAUACAAUAGAAUUUAUGAAAACUAUACAUGAACAAAGACUGACAAGCAACUAAAGUGCAAAAGAAGAAAAUUAUGCAAAUAAAAAACAAAUAAGUACAGAGAAUGUGAGUCGUGGAGUCCUUGAAAGUGAGUCUGCAGGUGUGGAAUCAAUUCAGAGUUGAGGCUGGGUUAAUAGGUGUAAACGGAAUCUUUUGGCUCAAAGACACCAAACCUUUGUUCUGCUAUCACGCAGCUUGCUGAUGAUCUCGGUUAAGGAUAUUUCGGCAAAUCUCCUCCUACUGUGCAUGUGCAGGACAUAUCUACCGAAAACAAGCAACAUGUUUGGUUUCAGAUCUCGUUGUGAAAGACAGCGCGUGUUUGUUCAGUUACAGACUAGAAAAACUUAAACAACGGGCAGCUGUUGGCUCUCGCGCAGGAGGACAUAAAAGUUUUUAAAAAACAAAUACAGAA